rnacentral:pre_miRNA from 1 species
CAACCUUGAUAGGCUGGCUGGCCCCCAGGCCAGGCUGGGCAAAUUCCUCUUCCAAAGGCUCACCCUCAAGCAUGACUAGGAGC